rfam:Cycloclasticus sp. P1, complete genome.
CGUUUCCUGCGGUGUUCGAGUUAAGGUGAAAUGCCCUUGGACCUAAUUACCUACCCGGGAAGACAGAUCAUUUUGUUGGUGUGCACGCUCUACAUAGAGAAGCCUAAUGCAAAUGUCCGACUCCCACUUGAACCUAUCGGUUCAAGGUAGAAACCUGAAUACGGCACUGGCGGGAAGCGC